rnacentral:lncRNA from 1 species
UAAACUCAAAUAUUUUUGGCCUUGCUUUCUGAACCUUUUCUUGAUUUGUCCCCAGGUAACAAGUAUUCUGAUCUCAAUAUGAGCUGCUGGUAACUUUCUGCAAAUGUGCUGAAAUCCCUGUCCUUGCUGUUAGAAGUGGAUACAGCCUGGCUGUAAGCUCUGGACAGAAAUCUGGGCAGAACCAAGACCUUUUUUGUUCUGGCAUUCAUCUGGAUUCAUGAUUGCUCCGUCUGCUGAUGAUUGGAUGUUAGAAAAGCAAUCCUGCUUUCUUGAUUCAAAGAGGAAAUGAGCAUUCUGGCUCAACCUGACUACUGGAGAAGGAAGGGAGCUAAGAAGCUCCAGAGUAUGCUGGGAUGCCGUGGCAGCAACUUUUGACAUUUGGAUUGGAGCC